rnacentral:lncRNA from 1 species
CUUUCGUGAUGGGGUGGGAAAAACUACGAGCGAAACACUUAGUGAGUAGUGGGAAAAGUUCAUGCGUAAAACAGCGGAGUAGCCAGCGAAACUUUUCCAUGGGAACUUUGGACACGCAGAACAAUGUCGAAAGUUUACUUUAAAUCGGAAUGCACAGCAAUACACUUUGGACUCCUUUUCCUUUUGGGUUACUCGGCAGCAACAGUUGCUGCUGGUAGAAUAAAUCAGUCGAUGGAGUGACUGUGGAUGCAGCUGCUGUUCUAGGGUAAACAAUAUCAAUCAUACGCCACGGCUGCUGGCAGAAAUGUGAAGUGUGGGGAAUGGAAGGAAGCCUUUGGGAAAUCAAUCUGACGGUUAUUUCGUACCCUUAAGUAUAUGUGUUUAAAGGAACCCGAUAUAAAUCGGAGCUUUUUUUCUUUAACAUGGACCCAGAACGUUGAAUUUGGUAUUAAUGUCUUCUAGUCAGCGCCAUUACAAAUAGCUAGCGGCUAUUGCGUUGCACUCUCUGAUGAACUGCAUCUGGUGCCCUCACUAAAAUAAUAUCAAUCAUGCGCCGUGGUGGCCUUACCAUUCGCCGCUUGGACCUCUUGUCCGUGUCCUUUUCCCUCGAGUUGGCCGCACUGCUGGCAGAUGGCGUCGAUGUGCCUGGUGUGGACUUUCUUCUGUGCUCCUGGUGCCUCUGCAGCUGGCAGCACAGUCGCACGUAGGUGCACUGCAGGCCAUCGGCGAGCAGGGCUCCCAAGCUGGACAGGCACAUCAGCAUGAGGGGCACGCCCACCAGGGCGUAGAAGAUGGUCGCCAGCUUCCCGGCGGCGGUGCGCGGCGUCAGGCUGCCGUGACCUGCAAGGAUCGGAAUGAUAUAUCUGGUUUAGAACUUAAGCAUGGCAAGCACGAACAGGCUAAUAUAAAUGCAUGCACUUUUAAUCGGAUGGGUGAGGACAAGUGGAGAAAUGGGUGCGGGUCCUUCUGGAAACUUAAUCUGUGGUGAAAUGGCGCUGCAGCAUAUGGAAUUACUUUCCACGAGUAGAAAGUGCAGGAAGUUUGUGUUUAAUGGGUCACAACUUAAGCUGUCUAGUUAUCUGUGUCUACUUAUAAAAUCACAUUGCAAAUACGUACAUAGUUUAUACAGCAAUAACCCACAAGGACUGAGUAGGUAAUAUAAGAAGCACCUCUUAGCAAUAAUAAUUUUCUAUCAUAUUG